CCUUCCCUGCUUCUCUCUCUCUCUCUCUCUCGAUCGAUUCCAGAUCUGGAUCUGGAUCUAUGGUUUUCCUCCUUAAAAUUUCACCAGAUAUGAAGAUUCUGACCUCUCAGUUCUGAUUUAGGGUAUUUUUGGUGUUAUUGCUACCUUCGUCAAGGGUAAGUGACGUCGAAUGUGUCACGUUUCUUCUGAGAUUCCAGUCGGAAUCCGAGCCGAGAUAAUGGAUGCUCUAGGGUUUAUGAAGGUUUGAUGAACUCUGCUGCGUGUACCAGCGAUACACAAAGAUCCUCUUUAAAUGGCUUCCGGUAAGACGAUUAGGGUUCCGGCGUGCUGGACUGCCAUCUCUGUCAAAAAAGGUUCCUCAAAGAUAGUGGUUGUGGGUGGAAGACGAUGACACAAGCCUUGAAUCAAAUCCAUGUUUACUCGACCUCCAUAUUUUGAGGGUAAAAGUGAAGAUGACUUCUUUGACAGGACUUAAAGCAAGUUGAAGUUUGCAUCAGAUAAGGGGAUGCGUUUAGAUGGUUGGCUGGAAAUCCUUCCCACAAACUGGAUAUAAUGGCUCAGUGUGGCUAACAGUAAGUCCUGCUGACCCUUCAGGCUCCAAUGAAUUUUACAAGAAGACAUUCAUCGAGUUUCUUGAUUCUUUUGCAUACCUUCACUUCACUGUUGAGGACAUAUGGAUACUAAAGCAAUUGGCGAAAAUGCAUCUUUGUUUCUCAUAAAGCAAGGCGCUAAAGCUGGUUUCUCAUCCUCCACCAUCUUCCUCUUUGUUAGCGCCUCAAGCACAACCUAUCACCGCCGUUGAAGACAGAUGUGCCCCUCUAAACGGUGGUGGAGGUCACACUUCUUGAUUACAUAUAUGCCCUUCUAAACGGUGGUAGAGGUCACACUUCAAGAACGGUAACCAAUAGUGCAGCUCAAAGCUUUUGUCAUCAGUUGGUCCAAAUGUGCCGAGAAUCUGCCAUGACUCAACGUUGCUCUUGUAGACGAUUUGUAGCAGCUCCUACAACAAACGGUGGUGGUUGGUGUCCAGACGCAUUUCUGGUGACUUCGGUUUAGGGUUCCGACAGUCUCAUUUUCUCUGUUUUGCUCCAUACACAGAGGGACCCAUUGAUGGGUAUUUAAUAUCAAAUCGUACAUACAGAGUUGCAGCAACAAAAAGGCCACUCCUUUUUAUUGGAACCGGUGAACAUAUGGAUGAAUUUGAACUAAUUGAGAUUAUGUGCAGCGAUUUAAUUUGGGAUUUUGUUUGUUGGGUAGAUAUUUAGGUCUACAUAGUUAAAAAUACCCCAAAGGAGGUAAUUCUAAUUUGCGCAAUUUAAGCGUUUAUUAAUUAAAGUUCCCUAUACAUUCUUCUAUUUUGUGCUGAUCAUGAUGGGUGUUUUAACGGAGCCAUGUGCUUGAUUUGAUUAAUCGUGGGGGGAACUUCAUCGUGGUCCGAGUCUUAGCCGACUUACAAAGGUUUAACACCAACAGAGAAGCUUUUGGAUUUGUUUCAUGGAAAAUUGGGACUAAAUGUUGACCCUAUAUUCGAUAAACUAGGCUACUAAGAUUUCAAGCUUUUGUCUAUGUUUCUGUAUAUGUUUUUUUUUUUCAAAGGGUGACCAUAUUUGUGUUCAUGAUCACUUAAAAUUCAUGCG
rnacentral:lncRNA from 1 species